UAACGGGGGAGCUGCAAUAAGCGGCUGAGAAAGUGAUUUGUCACUGACCCCACGAACCUGAUCUGGAUAAUGCCAGCGCAGGGAUGUCU
rnacentral:ncRNA from 1 species